UACGUAGGGGGCAAGCGUUGUCCGGAUUUAUUGGGCGUAAAGAGCGUGUAGGCGGCCAUACAGGUCCGUUGUGAAAACUGGAGGCUUAACCUCCAGACGUCGAUGGAAACCGUAUGGCUAGAGUCCGGAAGAGGAGAGUGGAAUUCCUGGUGUAGCGGUGAAAUGCGUAGAUAUCGUAAGGAACACCGGUGGCGAAAGCGGCGUACUGGGUCUUUUCUGACGCUGAGGCACGAAAGCCAGGGUAGCGAACGGG
rnacentral:rRNA from 1 species